rnacentral:tRNA from 2 species
UCUUUGAUGGUCUAACGGUCAUGAUUUCCGCUUGUCAUCCAACUCGCGGGAGAUCGGGGUUCGACUCCCCGUCAGAGAG